rnacentral:rRNA from 1 species
UACGUAGGGUGCGAGCGUUGUCCGGAAUUAUUGGGCGUAAAGAGCUCGUAGGCGGCUUGUCGCGUCGGCCGUUAAAUCUCCACGCUUAACGUGGAGCGUGCGGUCGAUACGGGCAGACUUGAGUUCGGUAGGGGAGACUGGAACUCCUGGUGUAGCGGUGAAAUGCGCAGAUAUCAGGAGGAACACCGGUGGCGAAGGCGGGUCUCUGGGCAUUAACUGACGCUGAGGAGCGAAAGCGUGGGGAGCGAACAGG